CCCUCACGGAGAUGCAGUUUGUCGAACGGAUAAGUGUUUGUCAUGGUGUGGGACCUAGCUGAGCCGACCGCCGCUCCCUUUGGGCGGCAAGGCAAGAAGCUCCCGGCUAUGGAGAUGGCGACCGGGGGAGACGACGCAACCGAGUUCCUGUGAGAUCCGGUUGACUGGUAACCUUAGAUUUCCCCUGCCGGACCUCGCCGCCGCACAGCCAUUGGUGUCCAAUGGAGCAAACCAGACGCUGAUAUGUGCGCCUGCUGAGUCCAGCAUUGGUGAUGUCGGAGAAGCGGCACUUGCCAUGCAAUUAGAUUUCAACAGCACUUGUGAUGGAAUUGCCCUGUCUGCGCCAACCUCCGAGCAAUCUACAGGCAAAGGCGAACCUCAAGCCCCAGGCUGGACAAAAAGAAUCCGUGUUGGCCGUGCGCCAAAUGAACGCCCCCCAUGUGCUGCCAGGAUGAGUGCCUUGGAAAUGACAUUGAGAAGAUAUUCAGAAAAGAAAAUUGACACUGUCAUAGUACCUGUAGUUGGAAGCAACUUCAAUUUACAUGUGUCCGAUCAGUGUCCGAUCAGUGUGUAGGUGCGAAUUUAGGGAGUGACCGAUCAGUGUCCGCAGGCGUCCCAGACGUGUCCACAUAAGUAGGGGACCGGA